AUUGAACGCUGGCGGCAUGCUUUACACAUGCAAGUCGAGCGGCAGCGCGGGGGCAACCCUGGCGGCGAGCGGCGUACGGGUGAGUAAUACAUCGGAACAUGUCCUGUCGUGGGGGAUAGCUCGGCGAAAGCCGGAUUAAUACCGCAUACGAUCUACGGAUGAAAGUGGGGGAUCGCAAGACCUCACGCGAUUGGAGUGGCCGAUGUCGGAUUAGCUAGUUGGNGAGGUAAAGGCUUACCAAGGCAACGAUCCGUAGCUGGUCUGAGAGGAUGAUCAGCCACACUGGAACUGAGACACGGUCCAGACUCCUACGGGAGGCAGCAGUGGGGAAUUUUGGACAAUGGGGGCAACCCUGAUCCAGCCAUGCCGCGUGAGUGAAGAAGGCCU
rnacentral:rRNA from 1 species